UCCCAAAACCAAAACCCGACUCCAGCAAACCCUUCGCCUUCACUCUUCACCCUUCAGAAAUGACCCGAUCUCAAAAAUCACGAUUUUCUCUCCUCUUCAUCUCUAGCUCGAGACCUCGACCUCUAGCUUCCGACCUCCUCCUCUCCCCUCGAGCUCGACCUCGACCUUCGGCCUCCGAUCUCCUCUCUCUCGGGCUCGAGCUCUACCUUCGAUCACCUCUGGCCUCUGUUCUUCUCUCCUUCGAUCUCCACUUCUUGACCUAGAUCUCUUCUCCUGCCCUUCAAUCUCCUCUUAUCUUUGAUCCCCAAUCCUCAGAUCAAAAGAAGUGGUUUCCACGAGGGGAAUUAAUCGCCCAUGCAGCAUAUUCUUGUGAUAGCCAAAUGAUAUAUGCAAGUUUCACAAACGGAAGUGUGGUUGUAUUUACUUCAGCACUCAGAUUGAGGUGUCGAAUUAAGCCAAGAGCCUAUCUGAAUCAACAGAGGUUCCUCAGUGCAUUCAAAAAACUACAUUAGCAAUUGGUGAUGGAGCUAAUGAUGUCGGUAUGAUUCAGGAGGCUGAUAUAGGUGUCGGUAUCAGUGGUGUGGAAGGAAUGCAGGCUGUAAUGGCUAGUGACUUCUCUAUAGCACAGUUUCAGUUUCUAGAGCGGCUUCUUAUUGUUCACGGACAUUGGUGCUAUAAGAGGAUUGCCCAGAUGGUUGCUAUUUCUUCUACAAGAAUAUAGCCUUUGGCCUCACAAUAUUCUAUUUUGAGGCAUAUACAAGUUUUUCUGGUCAAUCUGUAUAUGACGACUGGUACAUGUUAUUAUGCAAUCAGAGGUUUGCUUGCAGGUAUGUUCUCUGUAGGCAUAUAAAAGUUUUACUUGGAUCCGACAUCUCUUCGUUUGGGGGAGCAUUUCUACGUGGUAUCUCUUCCUCUUAGCCUAUGGACUCUCAUCGCCACUUAUAUCUGGAAAUGCUUAUCAAAUACUCGUCGAGGUUUUAGCUCCGCCUCUAAUU